UCCCCGGUGGUCCAGUGGUUAAGACUCUGCGCUUCCAACACAGUGGGCACAGGUUCGAUCCUUGGUCAGGGAA
rnacentral:tRNA from 1 species